GCCUUCGAGGUGUAACUGAAAACACGUCCGACUAACAAUCGGGGUUCAAGAGUUCAAAUCCCUGAGAAGGCG
rnacentral:tRNA from 1 species